UUACGGCUCAGUCUCCAGGGCAACAUCAACGACCUAUAUUUAGGGGUUCAACUUGAUAAAAGUAAUGUACCUAAGUUAUAACUUCAUCUGUCAGAGUCUCAUUCUGACAAAGUAAAGAACUAAAGCGCAAACAGGGGGACGGUAAUAACGGUAAAGUAGAAGAAGUAGAAGAAGAAGAAGAGGAAACGAGGAGAUGAACUUUCUUUAGAGCUUCUUUGAAGAUAAACAACAAUGCGCCCACUUCACGCAGUGAUUGGCCAGCUGUGCAGAAGUAUGUACAGGUACGGCUCCACCAUAUCCACAAAGUCGUUGGGGGCUUUGUGUCCAUAGCCCGGCAUGUCAACGACGGUGAACGCUUUGCCCACUCGGAAGAAGUUCAUCUUCUUUGUGUGACCCUGAGGAGGAAAUACAAAG